rnacentral:lncRNA from 1 species
UUAGAAAGUAAAAAAUUAUUUACUAUAUCAUAUCUGAAUACUCGAUGUCCUUAUAACCAUGAUCAAACAAAAAAAGAUGACUGAGGAAAAAGAAGGGAUUAGAAAAUGAAAACCAGAAGAAAUUUAAUGAAUUAGUGAAGAUUCUUAUUGGUACAAAUCAACAAAGAAUAUCCAACCUUUUCUUAUUCUUUUUGCUCCAAGUUCUUCCAUUCCUCCCACGACCAGCUAUCCAAGCCACUCCUUAUCCUAAACAUGAAUGUCACCUAUCCAGAUUUUGGAUUGAAGAAACAAUCAUGAACCAAGUCGCAAUAAAAAAAAUUCCAUGGGUUCACUUAGUAGUCUGCAAUUUAUUUAGCCAAAGGCAUGCGUGUUAAAAACCGAAAAUUGGAAGUUGAAAUAUUAUGCAAUACAAGCAUCAAGGUAAAAUGACAAUGUAAUAUAGUCGUCUGCACUCCAUAUCACUAAACUGUAUAUAAAUAACAUUUAGACAUAUUUUCGAAGGCUUGACCUGCUGAAGGUAAAUAUGACUGGAAUUUAUUCAUCAAGAAAAGACAUAACUAUAUAAUGUUACGUGAAAUAAAGAGCCUACUGUUUUCAAAAUCUCAUACAGAUUAAUACUAGGAUCCAUUUACAUUUACCCCUGGUAUACCCAAACUCACAUCUAUAGACAAAAGUUACCAGCCAUAUUUUGUUUGUUCGGGUGAGACAAAUUUAAAAACUCAUGCCAGCACAAUCAGCAACUCAUAGUUUAGGUUAAAACAGGGAAAAACUAAAUGGAUCCUGAUCUAAAUACAUACGAGAUGAAGUUAAGAAAUAGACUAUUUACUUCAACAUUAAGAUACUCAUGCCACCAUACUGAUUAGCUCAUAGUUUUGGUUAAAGUGGAAAAACUAAAUGGAUCCUGGUCUAAAUUUCUAUGCGAUUUUGGAUGGAAUAUACUCUUUACUUCAACAUUAAGAAACUUAUGCAAACACAAUCAGUAGUUUAUACUUUUGGUUAUCACAGGGGAAAAAUAAAUGGAUCCUGGGUAAAUAUGUAUUUGAGUUUGAGAGGAACUCAUGCCAGCAGAAUCAUCAAAUCACAUUGUUAUUUAUGACAGGUAAAAACAUAAUAGUUCUUGGUCUAAAUCUGUAGGCGAUUUUGGAAGAAAUAGUCUCUUUACUUCACGUAAGGUUUUUUAGUCAUGUCAUUCAUCGAUGAAUAAUUUCCAUUGUUCUAUAGGUGUGAGUAAUCAUCCCGUUGUUAUCUAUUGCAAGCAUGGGAAGACAACAUUUAUAGAUAUUUUUGUCGAAUGCAUAAGUAUAGAAGUAUGAGAAAGAACUGUGUGUUUUGGAGGCAAAGAAGAUGACUUAGAUAACGUCGAGAAGGCAAUAAUAUGAGAUAACAGGAAUGCUAUGGACAUCACUAUUUUGUGGGGAAAAAUAUGUUUCUGAUCAACAUAAUAUUGGAGGCCAUCGCAUUGAGAAAGCACAACACAAUUGCACCUUUGUGAAAGAAUGUUGUAGCAGAUUCUUCAUAAUCUGUCAAUUUAGAUCCUUUUGUUUUUUCGACACAAAUGGGGUGCGACUAAAUUUGAAUAAUAGGAAAACUUGUUCGGGAAAGUGUGUCUUUUGUAGGAGAAAGAAGAGGACUUAGAUAAUGGCGAAAAGGCAGUAGUAUGAGAAAAUUGAAAACUUUAGUCCAUGAUCAUAUUUUGGUGGGGUUUUCGUUCCAUGAUGACUAAAUUAUUGAACCAAUGUUAGAUGUAUAUGUCGCGCUUUAAGCAGAAAAAAAAUGUGUAGAGAAGAUUGGAAAAUAUUGCCUAAACUAUAACAUCAAUUGAAAGAAGUUGUUGUCGAAUCUUAUCAUACUUAGUGGGGUUACAGGGGAAAAAAUAUGGUAAUAGUAUUUCAGAACGUUUAGAGAAGCAAUUCUGAACUGUGUGAAAAUCUGAUUGAUGAAGAACAUCAUGCAUGUACCUCAAUCUAGUAUCGGUGUUUUGUAUUCGUAUUCGGUGUGCGUGAACACCUAUCUUUGUUGAACGGACCUAUUCGUUUUGUCUUCAUAUUCCUUGUGCGUCCGCACACAUAGCAGUUGAGCGGACAUAUUGUUUUAGCAGCAAAUAUAUUUUCUGAAAAUAGAAUUAGAUUAAUGAAGUAAACCAGGAGAAUGAUGGGUAAGGAUAAUCAGUAAACAUUCGGUAAACAUUGUUUCAAACGGAUUACAUACCGACAUUUGUUUGUUGAGCCAAAGUAGUUUGUGAUUGCGGGUUGAAGUUUUUUUUGGGUUGACAAAUAGUUCAUGGUCCGUAAAGUAAGUAUGCCGUGGCUAAAGAAUGGAGACAUUCGCAAGGAAUUAGAGAUAUUGUAUGUUCCAAAUAAAAAGUCAGAGGGAAGAAGGUAGAGAUGGC